GAAGAGAUAGCUCAGUGGUUAAGAGCACUGGCUGCUCUUCCAGAGGACCCGGGUUCAAUUCCCAGCACCCUCA
rnacentral:tRNA from 1 species